CAAGGACAAAGGUCUGGGGGGCUGUGGCGCUGACUUUCCAGCCUCGGCCACCUCAAGAGAGAAGAUGGGCCGGCCAGGGCCCCGCAGGGAGAAGGUCGCGGACACCCAGCUGUCUGGCGCUCCUGCUGCCCUCCACCAUGCCCUUGGUGAUGCCAUCCUUGGUCCCGAGGACUCAGACCUGGUGCCCUCUGUGACCCUGGCUGUGGCCCUGGUGCUGCUGUUCCUCCUGCUCUUGACUUGGCUGAUGUGACACAGGCCCCUCCAGGAGAGGAAAAGGCCGUUACAAAGUCACCCCACGUGCCGUGGGACAGGCUGGCUUGGUCCCGGCGGGCUGUGUUACGGCGCCCACUCACACCUCAGACGCUUCUCCAGUGCAAGGUUGGCAGCGGGACCCGGACCCGUCCUGCCCCGCGGGAGCUCCUGGUCCGCUGGGGGCACAAAAAUCUGCAAGACUGCUCAGUGGACCGGGGCAGGGCGGACCGAUGGACACACUGGGCUGCUUGGUCCUGGGUUUGGAGGAGGCCGUGGCCAGCAGGGGUGCCUGGAGUGUGAGCCUGAGUGAGGGCCCGUCAAGGAAGAGCAGUCAGGCUUAGAAGAGGGGAGUCUGGCCUGCGUGUGUGCACUGAUGCCAUGUGUGUGUCUACGUCCCUGCGGCUGCACAGCCUGGGUCUGGCUUCUAGUCUGAACUGCAGACUUGAGGACCAGCAGCAGAGGCCCCCCGACCGCUGGGAAGCUGAGCUGCGGCCGACUUGGCCUUUCCUUGGGCAGAGUUGCAGUCCUGACUGGCCGGGCGGAGCAGCGGCCUGGCCUCGGGGGAGGGCUCCUGGGGCCCGGCCACAGACGGGGCGCGCAGUCCUGCCGCACGGGCCCCCCUCCACCCCGGCUCGGCGGGGGCUGCCUGUGUGGGAUGAGACAGGCUCCAGAAAGAACACUGGGCCCCAGGCUUAGGAAGGUGCUAGAGAGAGACAGCGAGGCGGUCGGAGGAGUGCCCGGGCCUGCCGGGAGAUGGACGUCGGUGCACACGCGGAGGGCACAGCGGCCAGACCAUGGGCUCUGCGCAUCCCCCGCCUGCCCUGUCACUUUCUAGCUGGCCCUGACCGUGGGCGCGGGCCUGCCCUGCCCGCACUUCCGGUGCCUGAUCUGGGAUGGCGUCGGGGGAGGCAUGAAUGAGUUCACACUGGGAGCCGGCCUCGGGUCAGGGUCAGGGGAAAGUGUUUCGGAUUCCAGGUGAUUAAAUGGUCUUUUUAUUCA